rnacentral:rRNA from 1 species
UUCGUAGGCGGUGCGGCAAGUCGGAAGUGAAAUCUCUGGGCUUAACUCAGAGGCUGCUCCCGAAACUGCCGUGCUUGAGUGCGGGAGAGGCGAGUGGAAUUGCAGGUGUAGCGGUGAAAUGCGUAGAUAUCUGCAGGAACACCCGUGGCGAAGGCGGCUCGCUGGACCGCAACUGACGCUGAGGAACGAAAGCUAGGGGAGCAAACAGGAUUAGAUACCCUGGUAGUCCUAGCCCUAAACGAUCAGGACUUGGGGUGCAUCCCGUUGGGGAUGCGUCCCGUAGCUAACGCGUUAAGUCCUGCGCCUGGGGAGUACGGUCGCAAGACUGAA